rnacentral:rRNA from 1 species
CCUACGGGAGGCAGCAGUGGGGAAUUUUGGACAAUGGGCGCAAGCCUGAUCCAGCAAUGCCGCGUGCAGGAUGAAGGCCUUCGGGUUGUAAACUGCUUUUGUACGGAGCGAAAAGGUUCCCUCUAAUACAGGGGGCUCAUGACGGUACCGUAAGAAUAAGCACCGGCUAACUACGUGCCAGCAGCCGCGGUAAUACGUAGGGUGCGAGCGUUAAUCGGAAUUACUGGGCGUAAAGCGUGCGCAGGCGGUUCUAUAAGACAGUUGUGAAAUCCCCGGGCUCAACCUGGGAAUUGCAUCUGUGACUGUAGAGCUAGAGUACGGCAGAGGGGGAUGGAAUUCCGCGUGUAGCAGUGAAAUGCGUAGAUAUGCGGAGGAACACCGAUGGCGAAGGCAAUCCCCUGGGCCUGUACUGACGCUCAUGCACGAAAGCGUGGGGAGCAAACAGGAUUAGAUACCCUGGUAGUCCACGCCCUAAACGAUGUCAACUGGUUGUUGGGAAUUUACUUCUCAGUAACGAAGCUAACGCGUGAAGUUGACCGCCUGGGGGAGGACGGCCGCGAGUAGUAACGUACGAAGUAGAGUUAGACGGCGUGAGACGUAGCGACGACGACGACGAGGGAGGAGG